rnacentral:misc_RNA from 1 species
UGGGAUUUUGUUUCUUGUUUCUAUUCAUUUCUGUUUUCAAGUAUGGUAUAAUAUGGGCGUUUUCUUUGUUAAAACUGGUCAGUUAUUCUGCGAGUUCCUCCAAAAUUUUCCCAUUCUAGGUAAUGUCAGGAGUUUGGAAGUGACGACUGCAGUCUCUGCUGGUGAACUUUGCCUCGUUCCUUAUGUUUCCCUGCUAAAAGCAUGCCCUUUGCUGUAUUGGUUCACACUAAAGAUAUCAUAUGAAACUCCCUCGUCGUCAUCUAGAGAGCUUCACAAGGUUCCAAAGGAUUAUACACUUCCAUGCCCCAAGGUGGUGGAAGUGCUUGGUUUUAAAGGACAUGCUGCUGAAAUUGAGCUUGUCCAUGGUAUCUCGCUUGACAAGAUAAUUAUUGAUCUUUGUUCACCAUGCUAUCUGAGAAGCUCAUCACAGUUGAAAUUCAAGGAGACCGGGAUGUAUCAAUUGGCCAAGC